GACGAACGCUGGCGGCGUGCCUAAUACAUGCAAGUCGAGCGAACGGACGAGAAGCUUGCUUCUCUGAUGUUAGCGGCGGACGGGUGAGUAACACGUGGGUAACCUACCUAUAAGACUGGGAUAACUUCGGGAAACCGGAGCUAAUACCGGAUAACAUUUUGAACCGCAUGGUUCAAAAGUGAAAGACGGUCUUGCUGUCACUUAUAGAUGGAUCCGCGCUGCAUUAGCUAGUUGUUAAGGUAACGGCUUACCAAGGCAACGUUGCAUAGCCGCCCUGAGAGGGGGAUCGGCCACACGGGAAUUGGGACACGGCCCAGACUCCUACGGGAGGCAGCAGAAGGGAAUCUUCCGCAAUGGGCGAAAGCCUGACGGAGCAACGCCGCGUGAGUGAUGAAGUUCUUCGGAUCGUAAAACUUUGUUAUUAGGGAAGAACAUAUGUGGAAGUAACUGUGCACAUCUUGACGGUACCUAAUCAGAAAGCCACGGCUAACUACGUG
rnacentral:rRNA from 1 species